GAUGAACGCUGACAGAAUGCUUAACACAUGCAAGUCAACUUGAACUUCGGUUUGGGUGGCGGACGGGUGAGUAACGCGUAAAGAACUUGCCUCACAGAUAGGGACAACAUUUGGAAAUGAAUGCUAAUACCUGAUAUUAUGAUUUUAGGGCAUCCUAGGAUUAUGAAAGCUAUAUGCGCUGUGAGAGAGCUUUGCGUCCCAUUAGCUAGUUGGAGAGGUAACGGCUCACCAAGGCGAUGAUGGGUAGCCGGCCUGAGAGGGUGAUCGGCCACAAGGGGACUGAGACACGGCCCUUACUCCUACGGGAGGCAGCAGUGGGGAAUAUUGGACAAUGGACCAAGAGUCUGAUCCAGCAAUUCUGUGUGCACGAUGAAGUUUUUCGGAAUGUAAAGUGCUUUCAGUUGGGAAGAAAAAAAUGACGGUACCAACAGAAGAAGUGACGGCUAAAUACGUGCCAGCAGCCGCGGUAAUACGUAUGUCACAAGCGUUAUCCGGAUUUAUUGGGCGUAAAGCGCGUCUAGGUGGUUAUAUAAGUCUGAUGUGAAAAUGCAGGGCUCAACUCUGUAUUGCGUUGGAAACUGUGUAACUAGAGUACUGGAGAGGUAAGCGGAACUACAAGUGUAGAGGUGAAAUUCGUAGAUAUUUGUAGGAAUGCCGAUGGGGAAGCCAGCUUACUGGACAGAUACUGACGCUGAAGCGCGAAAGCGUGGGUAGCAAACAGG
rnacentral:rRNA from 1 species